rnacentral:lncRNA from 12 species
CUGAUGCUCAAGGAAGACAGAAUGGAUUCUUUUGUACAGUCCCUGGUGCCAUCCCUCCAGGAUAGAAGCCUCUCAAAGAACCCAAUCAUUUCCUGUCUCUAUGAGGUGUUCAUCACAGCCCAACAUGGCCUGAGCCAGCAGUUCCACAGGUGGUCACCACAGCCCAACAGGUCCUGGGACAGCAGUUACACAGGUGCUCUGGGCUCAGGAGAAUCCAGAUGGAGAGAUGUUCACAUCGCUGUCGACAUCAGCUCGGCCCUCUCUCCAGUGCUCCUGGUUAUUUGUCAAGAGACCUCAACAGGAAACUGCAUUUGAAGAGCUGUGCCCAGGAGAUCUUGGAGGAGAUGGUCUGUGGCUUCAAAUAUUCUAACUCCCUAGACAAUGAUCGGGUGCACCAGGCAAACAAGGAUCAGUGCUAUUCUGAAGUGAGAAUGGGAAGAGGAUUCUCCACACAAAUAUGGCCCUCACAGAAAUAUGGUGAGAAACCUUGGGCCCUCCUGUCAUGUUUCCACAUGACUGUCCCUCAUGCCCAACCACAAAGAGAUCUGAACCUCCAGCUAUGCUACGAAUGAGGUGAAAGGCACUCUUCACCUACGUUGGAAUGGUGCAGAAUAUAAUUCAUUUUUUUGAGGAGUCACAGUGUUUUGUUUGUUUCACUCAGAGCAAUGAGUAUCUUUGCAUUUUACUACUAUUUUGAUUAUUUCCCAUAUCCUUCUCAGAUAUCCUGUAUAGAACACAGCUCCACUAUCUUUGCAGAGCAUCUCCCAACCCUUAGAUAUAAUCACACUAAAAAGCGUGAUUUACUACAAAAAGAAGGAUGGGAUGAAGCCAUUCUAUAUGUUUAUCUAUAAGGUGUCUGUCAGAUCACAUCAGAUCAUUGUAGGCCCAACAUGUCAAGAGCUGUGUCCUUAUAGAUAUUCAUAUUACUUUAUCAGUAAGGUAAACUGUUUAUAUUACUCAUUCAGCUAUUCCAACUUAUUCUAAGUAAUAAAGUAUAUUCAUUAAAAGUAAUGAGAUCA